GCCAGCAAAGGGGCAGUGCCUUUAGCACUCUGAAUGCCUUCUGACAGGUGAAAGAAGGUGGUGAGCCACCCAUAGCCAGCAGAAGACAGUGGUGAGGAAGACAUCAUGCCCCACUCCCCAGCACUGGAGGCUGUGGACUGCGGGAUAAUUACAUUGACUUCAUCUCAGCACUUCGUUUCUGCUGAUACGUCUGUCAAGGACAGGAGGGGAUGCAUGGUCUCUCACUUUCUCAAGUAACCCUUCAACACCCACCCAAGAGGGGCUUCUUACAACCCACCACCACCGAAUUGCCAUGGAAAGAGGAUCCUGGCUAGCAUCCCACCAGCAACAGGCCAUUCUGUGGGGAGGAAAAAGGGAAUUUUUGCCUUUGUUGUCAUUAGUUUGUGGCCCAGAAGGCUUUUCCAUUGUGCUCGGUUGGCCAAGAAUGACCCUCUGUUCCUUCCCAAACAGUAAGCCGAUGCCUAUAGGUUUUUGUGUGUGGUCAACAAUGAUGCAAUAUAUCCUCCCAGCUGGCAGCAGCCCCCCUUCUCUAUUUAUUGUGCUAUGUUAUUAGUCAUACAAUUCACCUGGUAGAGAGUGACUUGCAUUCACUGUGAAGAAUGAAGAUUUUACCAGUUGACUAUUUUUAAAAAAAAACUAGAACCCAUAUUAGAUGGAAAGGGAAAGGCCAAAGGGAAAUUAUUGCUAUUUUAGACAGCAGCAUAAAUUUUCUUCCUAUUUUUAACCUAGCUUUUAAUUUAAUAAGUUUUAUGACCCUUAUAUUAAGUACAUAUGUUUUACAAGACAUUGUGUCCCUUGAGUCACCCUGAAUUUGCUCUACUAUAGCAGAGUUAAAUGAAUGAAUACUGUGUUUCUGAUUUCAGCUCACCCCUUAUUUGAUCCUUAUAUAGUCAAUAAACCCUCAUAGAAGCAUGGAGCAACUGAA